UCUGCGUAUAUGACUGUAUGAGCGGCUAAAUGAGGACAAGCCUGUCUCUUACAACAAAUCAGUGAAACUGAUCUGCCAGUACAAAAGCUGGCAUAAACACAUAAGACGAGAAGACCCUGUGGAGCUUUAAACAAACCACUACCCUAACCCCAAGCCCUAGUGCAAUGUUUUAAGUUGGGGCGACUUCGGAACAAAAUAAAACUUCCGAGCAGAGAUCCACCACUCCCACCAAGGCCAACAAGCCAAAGUACAAAACUGACCCGGCCACUGCCGAUUAACGAACCAAGUUACCCCAGGGAUAACAGCGCUAUCUUCUUCAAGAGUCCAUAUCGACAAGAAGGUUUACGACCUCGAUGUUGGAUCAGGACACCCAAGUGGUGCAGCCGCUACUAAAGGUUCGUUUGUUCAACGAUUAACAGUCCUACGUGAUCUGAGUUCAGACCGGAGA
rnacentral:rRNA from 1 species